rnacentral:lncRNA from 1 species
UCAGUGGAUUUUUUUUCUUCCAUUAACUCCUACUCAUUCUUCCUUGCUGGCUGCUUCCCAGUCUCCAUGGAGACCUUCCCUUAAUUAACCCAACAAAGGGAGAGAGGCAGCAAUGGCCCAAACAGAGCAGGCAGCUGCUGAAGGAACAGGAAUUGAGCUUUCUACUUAAUUUAAGGUUCCAAAGAAGUUGGGUUUCCAAGGAAAUAUGCUCUUAAUGCUAUAGGAUGAAUUUUAGAAACAAAUGGAAUUUAAAUGAAUGUUGGGUGUGAACAUCGUUCAAGUUUGAAUUGUAUUCAUAAGAUGGACAAAAUAAUUCUUCUGCUGUUCUGGUUUGAAUACAUUUUUCAGAUUUCUAAGAGUUUAUAUUGUGGGCCAAUACAAAAGCAACCUGCAACCAUUUUUGCUGAAUGGAGUGAAUUUCCUAAAGGAGAAAAGCCUCAACAUUAUUUUUUAAAAUAUCAACCAACCAAAGACUUCAAUAAAAAAAAUGUCAAAAACAUUUCUGCAGAACAACACAAGCUUCAGAAAUCUACAAUAACAAUAGAGGAAAAUGAAGAAUAUAACGUCAUUAUACAGUCAGUACGAAAUGGGGAAAUUUUAAGUGCAAAAUCCUUCAGGACAUGUGGGAUCUCAAAUAACAACAUUAAAGUCCUUGUGACAAGUACAAGUGUUUCUUUUAACUGGACUACACUGCCCCAUGACUUUUCAGUUUCAAUAUCUCUUAAUAAUUCAUCUCAAAGCAUACAAAACAAUGUAAUGUUUUAUGAAUGGGGCCAUUUGGAACCUUCAACCUCAUACAUUUUCAAAUUUGAAUUUAAACAGCUGCACUUGGAUUUUGUAAAUGUGUUUCAGAGGCUGGAUAUUCAUGUUGAAACAGGGUCCUGCCCACCAGAAUGGGUUGCAUUAAAAAGUAAUUGCUAUAGAAUUAGCAAAGACAGCCAGCCAUGGAAUGUGGCACAGAAAAUCUGUAAUAUACCUUUGCAUUCAGCACAUCUUGUUGAUAUAAAAAAUGAAGAGGAAAAGAAAUUUAUAUAUUCUUAUCUCAGGAAAGCCAACCAAAUAAUAAGUUGGACUGGUCUUAAUGAUAUAAAGGUCAGUAUAUGCAUUAUUUUUCAUACCUGGCAAUAUUUGAUAUAGUCAGUAUCUACUUUGAGAGGCAUCAGGG